ensembl:lncRNA
GGAAAAUACAGUUGGGUGUGAGUGAGCAAGGGUUUAAGACAUAGAGAGAGAUGUGCAUUAUGCUGCUGCAGCAUUACGCUCACUAAACGGUUUGUGGCUCAGCCUGCCUGACAACCCCUGCAGCACAAACGAGAGAGAGAGAGAGAGAGAGAGAGAGAGAGAGAGAGAGAGCGAGCGUGCAAAAGACAGAGAGAGUGUGUGAGAGGGAACUGACAAAGGAGGGUGGGCAGGCUCAUUUGGCCGCUGCGGGGCUGCGUAGCAGAAGCAACGCAGCACUCUCCGGUGGCACACACUUGCACCAGCACAGACCCAGCAGCCGAGUCCUGGACCACCGGCCAUGGCACAAGCCGCCAAACACCUGCGUAAGAACAAGGAUUUAGAGGCUCUUGCUGAGCAAGAGAGGAAAGAAAAGGAGGAGGAGAGAGUGAAGAAGAGGAGUCGCUCACGGGACAAAAAGCGCAAGGCCCACGCUGUUCACCGCUGGCUAAUCGAUCAGGACAAUAGUGUGAACUCUGAGCCGCCGGAUGGCCAGGGAGUGUGGCACUAUGAUGAAACACUUUAGUUUUCUUUAGAAGUGCUGUGUUGCUAGUGUGCUAUUGGGCUGGCUGAUUUACUAACUUUAGAUGUGGUUGUGGUUUCAAGUCAGACACUUUUUUGUUGUUGUUGUAAUUUUCUAUGUUUUACUUGGUCAUAUUUGUGGAACAAAUUCAGUUAUCUGAUUUUG